AAUGUAUUAGCUUGCAUGUCUUUCCAACAAUUCUCCCAACAUUGACUAUUCUCAUCUUUUGUCUUUAUUGCAGAUAUGCUGGUUGACCUCAGGUUUCUUUUGAUUUGCAUUUCUUUUAUUAUCAAGAUUUGGAACAUUCCUUCAUAAGAUUGUGUUGAUUCUUGCUCGGCAAACAUUUUUUGAGAUCUCCUUUGCUCCCAAUGAAGGGAUUGGCAUCUCCAACCUUGGGAAUUUUGAUCAAGAAAACAACUCCAGAAACCCAGGAGUCAAAAUAGAAUAAAAGAAAAAGCCGUUGUAACGAAGAAACUUAACCAACCAAAAUGAACCUACACGAUGGCCAUGUCCAUAAAUGUAUCUUUUUCUAUGCCUUGUGUCCAUCACCUUUCUAUCAGGAGGCUGAGUCUCUUAUACUUCCAGCAGCAAAGGAAACCAAAUGGACUGUGUCCCCUUCAAGGACCAUCCCAGGCUGUACCACAGAAGAAGGGGAAAAAAGAAAGACCAAGGGUUAAAGGGAAAGGAUGGAGAAGAGAUUCCACCUGCAACUGCAGGGGAUGUUCAUUCCAUCAAGUCUAUGGACAUGGCAGCCUGGCCUCUUCCAAUAGCCCCCAUACCUCUCUCUACCCACACAAAACAAGGGCAAAUUCUACCACAAACUGGAAGCCAGACGACUGAGAAAUAAGUGAGACGAGAGUUAAAUCGGUGGGUAUGGACAGCUUUUUCUGGGAUUUUGGUUAUAAAUGGAAGCAGAGAUAUAUGAGGAUAGCUUGAGAGGUAAAGGCUGCUAUUUUUUAAAGUGGAAAUUCUGGGCAUGUUUGUAAGGAGGAAGGAAGGACUUAGUGCAUAAAGAUGGGCUUCUCCUGUGACUUUGAACAUCAAGCAAAUCUUAACCAAGUCAGCCUUGGAAAGAUUUUUUCUCCUUUGAAUUCCAGUAUCAUAUACAGUCUCAAACACCCACCGGUGUAAAUCACGUUUUGUGUUUUUGUUUGUUAUCCUUCUCUAGGUGUAUCAUUCCUCUGAGGAGUUUAUAAACUUCUUCAGGGAAAAUAGAAAAAGAGGCCAUGUCCAAUAUAUGCAUAAGUUAAGACAUCACCCCAUGAUAGUCCUCUUCAAAAAUGAAGGAUGGGAAUUGAGAGCCAGGCCUGGAGACAAGUGGUCCUUGGUUCAAAUCUGGCCUCAGAUACUUCCUAGUUGUGAGACCCUGGACAACUCACUCAAUCCCAUUUGCCUAGCCCUUACUACUCUUCUGCCUUGGUACCAAUACUUGGUAUUGAUUCUAAAACAAAAAGUAAGGUUAUUUUUUAAAUUAAGAGGCUACUAUGUGCCUGGCCCUAUGCUAAAUCAUUGCAAAUAUGAUCUCAUUUGAUUCUUCCAAUAAUCCUAUGAGGUAGGUUUUAUGGUCCCCAUUUUAUAGUUGAAGAAACAGAGGCAAACAGGCUUAAGUGACUUGUCAGGAGUCAGUCAGUGUCUGGGGUCAGAUCUGAACUCAGGAAGAUGAGUCUUCUGACUCUAGGCCAAACGCUCUGCUACCAAAUUAUCCUUGGUAAGACCUUAACGUCCCCUAAAGCUUCCUGUAUCUCUCUUCCCCUUUUAAGCCACAUAUCUAAAACAGCUGUCUAUAUUUAUUGCCUCUGCUUCUCCUCUUCUCACUUAUUUCUCAGCCUACCACUCAAUUUUAACUGCCUUCUCCAAAGUUACCAAUAAGCUCUUAAUAACCCACUCUGAUGGCCUUUUCUCAAUCCUCCCCAUUCUCAAUAUUUCUGCUGAAUUUAACAUCAUUAACCUCCUGGAUUCUUCCUCUUCUCUGGGCUCUCAGGACACCUUCCUCUCUUAGUUGCCCUCCUACCUCCCUUGGGAAAUCCAUCUCACAACCCCUAAUUUUCAGUAUACCCAAAUGCCCCUUGUCCUCUCUCUUCUCUUCAUUCUCAGGGACCUCCAUGGCUCGCAUGGGUUUGGUUAUCAUUCCAUGCAGAUGAGUUCCAGAAUAAGGUAUGUGAGCUCCAGUUGCACACCUCAAACCGAAGAUUAGAUAUUUCACUUUUUUAAAUAGCAAAUUUCCACAUCAGUUUUCUGAUUGUGAGUUUAGACUCACAGAACCACGGAAUCCUCCUCUUUCCCUCUGUGAGGCUAAGUCCCCUGCUUGGGUUCACACGGGGCACGAGGGUCAGAGCUGCUAGUUGCUGACACAGGGAGUGAUGUACACACAUAGAGAAUAUGAGGCAGAUACAGGCGUGUUGUUUUUCGUCCUUUGUUUUCAAGCUCUUACAGACUUUUAUAAAGGGAGGCAGAGUUGUACAAAGUCGUCAACCUCACUCUCUUGUCCGGAGUCAUCAAAGUCCAGUGGCAGAUCAAGAGUCAUGGACGCAGGAGGAAAUUCUUUUGUGGAUCAUUUGUUUCUUGGCAGUUUUAAAUGAUCAGUUUUUAAAAUCAGCCAUUUUAAAAUGGAAGCAACUUGACUAAAAAUUGGUCACAGAAUUUUGAGACUGUUAAAGCAGCUGAAUGACUCAGUGGAUAGUCAGGCCUAGAAAUGGGGGAUCCUAGGUUCAAAUCCAGCCUCAGACAUUUCCAAAGCUGUGUGACUGAGCAAAUCACUCAACCCCCAUGGUCUAGCCCUUACUGCUCUUUAACCUUGGAACCAAGAUUCAGUAUUGUUUCUAAGAUGAAAGAUAAGGGUUAAAAAAAAGUGCAAUAUGGUGAAGGGAGUGGGGAGAGUCAGGAUGACUGGUAAUGAAUGGCGUAGGGUGCAGUGGAUGGCCUUGGCGCAAAGUGUUAUCAUCCAUCCAUUCUACCAAAGGACGUCUUCACCUGAUUAGGGUAGACAUCUUCCUAAGUGACCAAUAGGGUUCAGGCCUGUCAGUUACCCUUGACCUGGUCAGUCCCCUCUGUAGGUGGUUUUACUGUAAUGUGGCUACUGUGUAUGCUACAGCGUCUUGGAGCCACAGGUCAGAGUUGUGAAAGGUGGCAAGCCCUCAUACCAGAGGUCGGAGUCCUCCCUGAAUACCCCUUACACCCUAUAUCUGUGUACAUGUAUAUAAUGUGUCCAGCAUGUCUCUGGGGGUGUGUGUUUUGGGGUGGUAAUGAAAGCUUUAAAUAUAAAAUGUUAAUAAAU
ensembl:lncRNA